AGGCAAAGAUAUCUGAAGGAGAGACUAAAGUUGAGGUCGACGUUCAAGGCGAAGUGGAUAAGAAAGAUGACUCCGGCAACGAGACGGGCGCGGGCGAGCCCGAGGUGGACGAGGACUCUUCGGGCUUCACCGGCUAUGACAAGAACAAGAGCUUCUUUGAUAACAUCUCCUGCGAGGCGGUUGAGAGGUCGAAGGGGCGCAGCCAGAGGACGGACUGGCGGACGGAGCGCAAGCUGAAC